rnacentral:lncRNA from 1 species
GAAGUGUGUCAAUUUUUAAGCAAGAUCAAUGGUUUAAUCAAUAGAUAUUGAGGUUCUAAUCUACGUUAGGAUUGGUUUGAAUGAUUAGGUUUUGGUCGAGGAUUUAGGAUUUUUUUAGGACCUAAGAUUUUUUUAGGAUUUUUUUAGGAUUUGGGAUUUAUUUAGGAUUUGAUUUAGGAUUUAGGAUUUAUUUAGGAUUUGAUUUAAGAUUUAGAAUUUAAUUAAAAAUUAAACUUAGAUUUAAUUAAAGUCCAUUAAAAUUUUAAUAUG